UACAGAGGUGGCAAGCGUUGUUCGGAAUUACUGGGCGUAAAGGGCGCGUAGGCGGCCACCGCAAGUCGACUGUGAAAUCUCCGGGCUUAACCCGGAAAGGUCAGCCGAUACUGCGGGGCUAGAGUGCAGAAGGGGCAACUGGAAUUCUCGGUGUAGCGGUGAAAUGCGUAGAUAUCGAGAGGAACACCCGUGGCGAAGGCGGGUUGCUGGGCUGACACUGACGCUGAUGCGCGAAAGCGUGGGGGAGCGAAACAGG
rnacentral:rRNA from 1 species